AAAAAAACAAACCAUGGAUUUCCGUAUCUAAUGUUUGACCGUCCGUCUUAUUUGAAAAAAUUAUGAAAAAAAUUAAAAAGAUAAGUCACGCAUAAAGUAUUAAUCAUAUUUUAUCAUCUAACAACAGAAAAUACUAAUUAUAAAAUUUUAUAUAAGACGCACAGUCAAACGUUGGACACGGAAACUCAGGGUUUGUCUUUUU
rfam:Oryza rufipogon genomic scaffold, chr02